CUCCAUCUCUUCCAUAUCUCUUCUCCAUCUCCUCCAAAUUUUUAAAAUUUUUAUUCUCUCCAUCUCCUCCAUGUCUUAAUUUUCAAAUUUAUUUCCCCCCUUUCAAUUCUUUUCCCUUUCAAGAAUAAAUAAAGAAGAAAAAGAAGAUGAAGANNNNNNNNNNNNNNNNNNNNNNNAUGAACAUUCAAUGAAGAAGAAGAUGAAAAUGAAGAUGAAGAUGAUGAUUGAGAUGGAGAUGAAGAAGAUGAAUGAGAAAAUGAAGAUGAGAUUUUUUUAAGAAGAGAAAGAGAUGAAGAAGAAGAAGUAAAAGAUGAAGAAGAAGAUGAAAUUAGUGACUGCGAAGAACGAAGAAGAAGAAGAAAAGAAGAAAAAGACCAAAGAACGAAAUAAAACAAAAAAACAAGAUCGAAGAACGAUGAACGAAGAACAUAGAAACCCAGUUGGGUUUCUGCAUUUUUUAUUACUAGACGGAAAGUUUAUGGUGAAUUUAACGUGUUGUUAGGUUUAACAGCGGAUAAAAUAUGUUGUUAGGUUUAACAGCGGAUAAAAUCGUCGUUAAGUUUAACAAUGGAUAAAAUCCGUCGUUAACCAUCUUACCAUCGCCGUUAGGAUUUCUUACAUCGGCCUAUCCGCCGCUAAAAUAGAUAAAAACCCACCGUUAGCCAUGCAGUUUCUUGUAGUGUUCCUUCGACCAAUCCAAUCUAGCUCUUUGAUUUCAAUAACCUUCUUCGUCCUCCUCGA
rnacentral:lncRNA from 1 species